AUGUUGUAGGUUGUUAGUUAUUAUCGUUAAAAUAGAAAUUUUUUGUAUAGAAGAGAAGAAUUAUUAGAAAAAGAAUUUGAAUAUGUUUUAUGGAUGGGUAAUAUAUUGAUUUAUUAAUAGUUGUUUAAAAUAUAUUUUUAAUGAUUUAUUAUUUUUAGAAGUUGUGUUAUUUUUUUAGCGUAGGUUUGUAAGUGAAAUGAAAAAGUGUCG
rnacentral:misc_RNA from 1 species